GAUGAAGAACGUAGCGAAAUGCGAUAAGUAAUGUGAAUUGCAGAAUUCAGUGAAUCAUCGAAUCUUUGAACGCACAUUGCGCCCCUUGGUAUUCCGAGGGGCAUGCCUGUUCGAGCGUCAUUACACCACUCAAGCACUGCUUGGUAUUGGGCAUCGUCCGUCGAAAGGCGGGCGUGCCUCGAAGACCUCGGCGGGGUUUCUCCAACUUCGGGCGUAGUAGAGUUAAAUCGAACGUCUUAUAAGCUUGGUGGGACUCCAUUGCCGUUAAACCUUUUAUUUUCUAGGUUGACCUCGUAUCAGGUAGGGAUACCCGCUGAACUUAAGCAUAUCAAUAAGCGGAGGA
rnacentral:misc_RNA from 1 species